CACUGCCUGACAGGUAGCAGUGCUCGUCCACCUUCCUUUUGCUUUUGAUUUGUGGCCCUGCAGCCAUCAGGGCCUCUUUGGUGGAGGUGAAGGCAUCCUUCGGCUUUAUUUGCUCGGGUUCUUCCUUUAUUUUCUUGCCGCCAGCCUUGGCAGCAGAAGCAGCGCGUCUCUUUGAUGCCAUGAUGACGCUGUGGAGCACACCAAAGAUGCCAUGUUUGUUGCGACCAACGGCUGUAAUGUCUGGACAUGCUCAGACAUCACUUCUGCUACAUUCUCAGGCACAUUAAUAACGUGCUUGUUGCUGGGUGGGUGUGUUGCACCCAACACGUGCAGGGGUGUGUCUGAGCGCGCUGUCAGCGGAGGUUCCGGCAGCUCCAGUUGCCAAGGAGAUGCGAGUAGAACUCCGCGUCGUGACACUAACCCCUGUUCCACCGUGCUGCCAGCUAGCUAGCUGCUAAGCUAACGAGGCUAGCGGAGAAAGGCAGCACCGGUCUGAAGGAAGCUACUCCCCCGCCACCGUGACCACCACUUCCCGAAGACAGCUGGCACUCCACUCGGCGACGGAAAGUUUCUCAACCAGGAGGAGACGGGGUUGGAGCUGGAGGGGAGCUGGGGUGAGAGCGAGAGCGUGACGGACACGGACAAAAAAAGACAAUUGCUGCAAAGCAUCCCACUGAACUGAGAUGAAAUAAAAUUAUAAUCUAAUCUGGGUUCUCAUGAUGGUGAUUGGUAAUCCAAAGAACCCCUUGGUGGGCAUCCUCCACAAUGUUAUUGUGUAUAGUCUUUUCCAAAAUAACACACACUGCAAAUCAUCAACAAUAUUUACUUGGCAGGUCAUCUUUCUUUCAGGUCACAUUAACAGAAAGUUGUGUUGACUAACGACUUAUUGUACUGAUUGCAUGUUGCUUCAUGAUGCCAAAUGUAUCAAUUAUUGUGUCUAAAUUAAUACAACUACGCUCAUAUAUCUGCAGUUACCUACACUCAGAAUAACAAAAGUAUAUGUAACGUGUUAAUACGACCUUCUCUGUAAUGUUAACAUCUUGCUUUGACCGUCUCUUCUUCAGCUACCACUCAAUUAACAAACUUUAACUUCACAUUUAAAUAGUUCUGGAAAAUAAACAUCAAAAUGCAUCAAUGUCAAACGGAAUGUAUGUUAAGUAACCUACAUUUGUCACGUGUCAAGUCAAGGUCACAAAUAUAAACACCCCAGCCACACAGCUUUUGCUGGUCAAAUUGACAUCAACCCUGCAGCAAUUUUAAAUUAGGAAGAAUAAAAAUGUUAACUAUUUUACCUGCAGGGUUCAAACUAAUGCUUCUAAUGCUGCCAUCUUUGUCAUGUUUUGUGGUCAUGUUCUGUUUAGUUUUGGACUCAUUGUGCACUCUUGUUUGAUUUUGUUACCAUGACAACUCAUUACUUUUCACCUGUCAUGUCACGCACCUGAUUCACUUGGACUCAUGCACCUGUUAAUCACCACAGCACUAUUUAAGCCUGCAGUUGCCAGGCAGUCUGCCUGGCGACAUCACUUUCUACUCACCUUUGCUAUCUAUGCCGAUGAUCCAUGCACUUUCUCAGUCCAAGUACGUUUUUCUUGCCAUAGUUUUGUAAUUUUUGUUUUAUGUUCAUAGUCUUGCCUUAGUGCAAGUUUUUGUUUUCAUAGCCAAGUUUUUGUACCUCCUCUGACAGCCCUUUUUGUUUAUACCCUUUGUUUUUGCAAUACCUUUUGAGUGUUAGGAUUAAAGGAUGCCCUUACCUUAACAUUGUGUCUGAUCCAAUCGCUUUGCACCACGGGAAAACACACCACACCAUAGUCCAAGUCAUGACAAACCAGGCUUCAACUAUAAAACAAAACUUAAGAAAUACUAAUGUUGAAGCUGAAUUACUACAUCAAUUAGCUUAAAGUCUACUAGCUUACACAUUACUGUAACUGCAAGCUGAAGCCUUUAGUGUCGUGUGAAAACAUUUUUUCUGUUGAUGAAGUCAUGAACUGUUGUAAAUAAAAAUAGGCAGAAAUUGUACUCACCACACAUUAAAAUGAAGAAACGUUGCUGCAAAA